ACAGCAGCCGCCGCGGGAAUACGAAGGGUGCAAGCGUUAAUCGGAAUUACUGGGCGUAAAGCGUGCGUAGGCGGUUUGUUAAGUCUGCUGUGAAAUCCCCGGGCUCAACCUGGGAAUGGCAGUGGAUACUGGCAAGCUAGAGUGUGUCAGAGGAUGGUGGAAUUCCCGGUGUAGCGGUGAAAUGCGUAGAGAUCGGGAGGAACAUCAGUGGCGAAGGCGGCCAUCUGGGACAACACUGACGCUGAGGCACGAAAGCGUGGGGAGCAAACAGGAUUAGAUACCCCCGUAGUCCCUGUCUCUUAUAA
rnacentral:rRNA from 1 species